GGUACUAAUUAAAAAUACGGCUUCCAGAGCCCUACCUCAGAGCUAUUAAGUCAGAAACUCUGGGGGUGGGGUCCAGGAAUCUCCAUUUUUAAC
rnacentral:miRNA from 1 species